rnacentral:rRNA from 1 species
GCAAGUCGAACGCGAACGUUUCUUCGGAAACAAGUAGAGUGGCGGACGGGUGAGUAACGCGUAGGAAUCUACCUAAAUGUGGGGGAUAACAUGGUGAAAAUCAUGCUAAUACCGCAUAUGUCCCACGGGAUAAAGAGGGCCUCUUCUUGAAAGCUCUUGCAUUUAGAUGAGCCUGCGUCGGAUUAGCUAGUUGGUGGGGUAAAGGCUCACCAAGGCGACGAUCCGUAGCUGGUCUGAGAGGAUGAUC